UACGGAGGGUGCGAGCGUUGUCCGGAAUCAUUGGGCGUAAAGCGCGCGUAGGCGGCCCGGUAAGUCCGCUGUGAAAGUCAAAGGCUCAACCUUUGAAUGUCAGCGGAUACUGCCGGGCUAGAGUCCGGAAGAGGCGAGUGGAACUCCUGGUGUAGCGGUGGAAUGCGCAGAUAUCAGGAAGAACACCAACGGCGAAGGCAGCUCGCUGGGACGGAACUGACGCUAAGGCGCGAAAGCGUGGGGAGCGAACAGG
rnacentral:rRNA from 1 species